rnacentral:rRNA from 1 species
UACGUAGGGGGCAAGCGUUGUCCGGAUUUACUGGGCGUAAAGCGCGCGUAGGCGGGAAGAGAAGUCCGGUGGGAAAGCCCACGGCUCAACCGUGGAAGAACGCUGGAAACUCUCAUUCUUGAGGGCGGCAGAGGGAAGUGGAAUUGCUGGUGUAGCGGUAAAAUGCGCAGAUAUCAGGAAGAACACCCGUGGCUAAGGCGGCUCUCUAGUACGGUACUGACGCUGAGACGCGAAAGCGUGGGGAGCGAACAGGG